AUACGUAGGGAGCGAGCGUUGUCCGGAAUUACUGGGUGUAAAGGGAGCGUAGGCGGGAGUGCAAGUCAGAUGUGAAAUACAUGGGCUCAACCCAUGGGCUGCAUUUGAAACUGCAUUUCUUGAGUGAAGUAGAGGCAAGCGGAAUUCCUGGUGUAGCGGUGAAAUGCGUAGAUAUCAGGAGGAACACCGGUGGCGAAGGCGGCUUACUGGGCUUUUACUGACGCUGAGGCUCGAAAGCGUGGGGAGCAAACAGGAUUAGAUACCCUGGUAGUCCACGCUGUAAACGAUGAUUACUAGGUGUGGGGGGACUGACCCCUUCCGUGCCGCAGUUAACACAAUAAGUAAUCCACCUGGGGAGUACGGCCGCAAGGUUGAAACUCAAAUGAAUUGGCGGGG
rnacentral:rRNA from 1 species